rnacentral:rRNA from 1 species
GAUGAACGCUGGCGGCGUGCUUAACACAUGCAAGUCGAACGAAGCGAUUUAGCGGAAGUUUUCGGAUGGAAGCUAGAUUGACUGAGUGGCGGACGGGUGAGUAACGCGUGGGUAACCUGCCUCACACUGGGGGACAACAGUUAGAAAUGACUGCUAAUACCGCAUAAGCGCACAGGAUCGCAUGGUCCGGUGUGAAAAACUCCGGUGGUGUGAGAUGGACCCGCGUUUGAUUAGCUAGUUGGUGGGGUAACGGCCUACCAAGGCGACGAUCAAUAGCCGACCUGAGAGGGUGACCGGCACAUUGGGACUGAGACACGGCCCAAACUCCUACGGGAGGCAGCAGUGGGGAAUAUUGGCACAAUGGGGGAAACCCUGAUGCAGCGACGCCGCGUGAGUGAAGAAG